rnacentral:rRNA from 1 species
UAACGCGUGGGUAACCUGCCUCAUACAGGGGGAUAGCAGCUGGAAACGGCUGGUAAAACCGCAUAAGCGCACAGCAUCGCAUGAUGCAGUGUGAAAAACUCCGGUGGUAUGAGAUGGACCCGCGUCUGAUUAGCUAGUUGGUGAGGUAACGGCCCACCAAGGCGACGAUCAGUAGCCGGCCUGAGAGGGUGACCGGCCACAUUGGGACUGAGACACGGCCCAA